rnacentral:rRNA from 1 species
AACGAACGCUGGCGGCAUGCCUAACACAUGCAAGUCGAGCGCCCGUGCAAUACGGGAGCGGCGCACGGGUGAGUAGCGCGUGGGAACCUGCCCAGAGGUUCGGGACAACCGCGGGAAACUGCGGCUGAUACCGGAUGAUGCCUGAGGGCCAAAGAUUUAUCGCCUUUGGAGGGGCCGCGUCGGAUUAGGUAGUUGGUGAGGUAACGGCUCACCAAGCCUGUGAUACCGUAGCUGGUCUGAGAGGAUGAUCAGCCACACUGGGACUGAGACACGGCCCAGACUCCUACGGGAGGCAGCAGUGGGGAGGUAAUUGGACAAUGGGGGCGAACCCUGAUCCAGCAAUGCCGCGUGGGUGAUGAAGGCC